GGUUGUAGCUCAGCGGUAGAGCGCUCACCUAGCACAUGUGAGGCCCUGGGUUCGAUCCUCAGCAUCA
rnacentral:tRNA from 1 species